rnacentral:rRNA from 1 species
AUGAACGCUAGCGACAGGCCUAACACAUGCAAGUCAGGGGCAGCACAAGGAGCAAUCUGAGGUGGCGACCGGCGCACGGGUGAGUAACACGUAUGCAACCUGCCUGUAAGCGGGGAAUAACCCGUUGAAAGACGGACUAAUACCGCAUAAUACUAAAUUACUGCAUGGUAAUUUAUUUAAACAUUUAUGGCUUACAGAUGGGCAUGCGCAUGAUUAGCUAGUUGGAGAGGUAACGGCUCCCCAAGGCAACGAUCAUUAGGGGUUCUGAGAGGAAGGUCCCCACACUGGUACUGAGACACGGACCAGACUCCUACGGGAGGCAGCAGUGAGGAAUAUUGGUCAAUGGACGAGAGUCUGAACCAGCCAAGUCGCGUGCAGGAAGAAUGUCCUUAAUGGAUUGUAAACUGCUUUUGCAGGGGAAUAAAGUGCAUCACGUGUGAUGUUUUGUAUGUACUCUGCGAAUAAGGAUCGGCUAACUCCCGUGCCAGCAGCUGC